GAAAGUUCUUAAGAGUGAGGAACAAUAUUGGCAUUCAUUCUCAUAGCAGUUUUUUAUUUAAAAUUAAAGAAAGCCGAAUUGAUCAAAAAAUAUAUAUGUGUGACUAAAUGAAGGAUACUUGAAAAAGAUAAAACCAAACCGAGAAAUUUUUGUAUAGUUUGGACUACUUGCCCCAAAUUGUGGGUGGUCUAAUUUAAAAUCAAAACCGAGUUUCCCCUUUGAAAAAAAUAAAAAGAAU
rnacentral:misc_RNA from 1 species